rnacentral:rRNA from 1 species
GAUGAACGCUGGCGGCGUGCCUAAUACAUGCAAGUCGAGCGCACGGACUUGAAGCUUGCUUCUCUGAUGUUAGCGUCGGACGUGUGAGUAACACGUUGCUAACCUACCUAUAAGCCUGGGUUAACUUCGGGAAACCGGUGCUAAUACCUGAUGAUAUUUUGAACCGCAUGUUUCAAAAUUGAAAGACGUUCUUUCUGUCUCUUAUAGUUGUAUCCUCGCUGCAUUAGCUAGUUGGUAAGGUAACGCCUUACCAAGGCAACGAUGCAUAGCCGACCUGAGAGGAUGAUCGGUAACACGGGAAAGGAGACAAGGAGCAGAAUCGUGAGGGAGGCACCGGUAGGGAAUCUUCGGGAAUGAGCGGAAGGCAGACGGAGAAAAUCGGCGUGAGUGAUGAAGGGCUACGUAGCAUAAAACACGAUUAUUAGGGAAGAAGAUAUGUGUAAAUAUCAGUGCACAUCAUGACAGAACAUAAUCAGAAAGCCCCGGCUAACUACGUG